rnacentral:tRNA from 1 species
AACGCGAUGACCGAGUGGUUAAGGCGAUGGACUGCUAAUCCAUUGGGGUCUUCCCGCGUAAGUUCGAAUCUCACCAGCGUCG